GAUCCUGGCUCAGGACGAACGCUGGCGGCGUGCUUAACACAUGCAAGUCGAACGAAGAGCGAUGGAAGCUUGCUUCUAUCAAUCUUAGUGGCGAACGGGUGAGUAACGCGUAAUCAACCUGCCCUUCAGAGGGGGACAACAGUUGGAAACGACUGCUAAUACCGCAUACGAUCCAAUCUCGGCAUCGAGACCGGAUGAAAGGUGGCCUCUAUUUAUAAGCUAUCACUGAAGGAGGGGA
rnacentral:rRNA from 1 species